CAAACGACUCUCGGCAACGGAUAUCUCGGCUCUUGCAUCGAUGAAGAACGUAGCGAAAUGCGAUACUUGGUGUGAAUUGCAGAAUCCCGUGAACCAUCGAGUCUUUGAACGCAAGUUGCGCCCGAAGUCUUUUAGACCGAGGGCACGCCUGCCUGGGCGUCACAC
rnacentral:rRNA from 1 species